CUUGCUCCUUUGACGUUAGCGGCGGACGGGUGAGUAACACGUGGGCAACCUACCUUAUAGUUUGGGAUAACUCCGGGAAACCGGGGCUAAUACCGAAUAAUCUGUUUCACCUCAUGGUGAAAUAUUGAAAGACGGUUUCGGCUGUCGCUAUAGGAUGGGCCCGCGGCGCAUUAGCUAGUUGGUGAGGUAACGGCUCACCAAGGCGACGAUGCGUAGCCGACCUGAGAGGGUGAUCGGCCACACUGGGACUGAGACACGGCCCAGACUCCUACGGGAGGCAGCAGUAGGGAAUCUUCCACAAUGGGCGAAAGCCUGAUGGAGCAACGCCGCGUGAGUGAAGAAGGAUUUCGGUUCGUAAAACUCUGUUGUAAGGGAAGAACAAGUACAGUAGUAACUGGCUGUACCUUGACGGUACCUUAUUAGAAAGCCACGGCUAACUACGUGCCAGCAGCCGCGGUAAUACGUAGGUGGCAAGCGUUGUCCGGAAUUAUUGGGCGUAAAGCGCGCGCAGGUGGUUUCUUAAGUCUGAUGUGAAAGCCCACGGCUCAACCGUGGAGGGUCAUUGGAAACUGGGAGACUUGAGUGCAGAAGAGGAUAGUGGAAUUCCAAGUGUAGCGGUGAAAUGCGUAGAGAUUUGGAGGAACACCAGUGGCGAAGGCGA
rnacentral:rRNA from 1 species